AUUCAAGCUGGUCUUUUAGCUGUGCCGAGCUUUAGUACUGCUUUUAGACUCCUGAAGAGCUGGAGGUGUAAAACUUAGAUGUGAGUUCACCACCAGUUUUGUAGUGCCUGUCACAAUGUUGAUAGUGAUACACGAUGGAGAAUCAGCAAGGGAAAGGCAAAAUACCAAGAGUUUCAUGUCCAGAAAUUGUGAAGUCAUGGGGCAUAAUGGCUAUGGCAAAAAAGAUCGUUUCAUUAGGUUAUCUCUUGUUUUAGGCUCUGGAAAUCUCUGGAAUUGCUGUCAGGGAGAGCUUUCUGUGGCUUCUCCCUCUGUCUCUACCUGGCACAUGGUACAGUUGAGAAAUGACGGUUCUUAUGCUAACUCUGCUUCCCAAAACAUCAUCCCUGUGGUUGUUAUUACACCAGAAACCAUCCAUCUUGCUGCUGGUUCAUACCCCAGCAGUACCCGGGGAGCUGCUGGGCCAGGCACUGUGUGAAGAGCAUGAAAAGAGAUCUGCUGCCCUAAGGAGCUGGAGAGAUAUCCCUGGGUAUGGUCAGGUCUUGCCCGAAAGCACUGAAGCUUUGCUCUCCUAAAGGCUGCAAAGACCCGAAAUAACUGGGCUCUGUAUAAAUGGCUCUUUUAAUUCAAUUACUUAGUAAAAUUGAUUUGAUUAAGAGCACAAGCUAGAUGGGAUUAUUGCAGGGCUGCAGGGAGGGCUUGCUAUGCUCUUAGAAGUAAGAGGAAGGACUGACACCAUUGAAAAUUCAGACAUCAGCAGUGUCAGCACUGCCUUUUGAUCAUUUUCCCCUGCUCAUAGUGUUGCAGAGGAGGCUGUAGGGUGAGGACGUGGCACAGUGGGCCUUGCUGUGGUCUCCUGCUGAUGUAAGCACUGCAGACUGACGUCUUCUAGCUCUCCUGGCCAGCAGGACCUCUUCCUGCACAUGCAGGCAUCUUGGCUCCUAAUACAUUUUCCCCGAUGAAAACAAAGUGGCUUAGAGCUCAAGGUAUCACAACCCAUAAACAUUUCAGCCCCCGCCACCCCCAGCUAUCUCUUGCAGUCCCCUGGAUAGAGCUCUUAUAAAACCCAGCUCCUCUUAACUCAUCCUGACAACACAGGGGAGAUUUUGGUUUAAUUGCAGUUGUUAAUU
rnacentral:lncRNA from 1 species